rnacentral:rRNA from 1 species
UUGUCCGGAUUUACUGGGUGUAAAGGGUGCGUAGGCGGCUUUGCAAGUCAGAUGUGAAAUCUAUGGGCUCAACCCAUAGCCUGCAUUUGAAACUGCAGAGCUUGAGUGAAGUAGAGGCAGGCGGAAUUCCCCGUGUAGCGGUGAAAUGCGUAGAGAUGGGGAGGAACACCAGUGGCGAAGGCGGCCUGCUGGGCUUUAACUGACGCUGAGGCACGAAAGCGUGGGUAGCAAACAGGAUUAGAUACCCUGGUAGUCCACGCUGUAAACGAUGAUUACUAGGUGUGGGGGGUCUGACCCC